AAAUAAAAAAAAAUAAAAGAAAAAGAGAAAUGUGUAAUGAAGCAUUAAUGGUCUGAAAGUAUGUAUCUGUAUUGACAUGCAUAAUGCAUCAAGUAUCUCGUUAGAUUUUUUAUCUCUAAGGGGUAUCUGUUCUCCUAACCCCAUUCAGGAUAGCUAUUUCUCCCUUCCCCAUCUGGUCUGGAAAGACGUAAGAGGACUGCUCCCUAUGGAUGACGACGUACCUUUUAGCGAGAGUGGUAAUACAAAUAUCUAUUAGGGGUCACUUUUGGCUCAGUACUAUCAUGACCAUAGAAUAUCUUAUAGGACCACUACAGCCGAUAUAGCUAUGGUCGUAGAUAGUACCAUAGUUUGGCAAUCCGAAAAUGUGGUUGAACAAAUUGCCAUUA
rnacentral:lncRNA from 1 species